rnacentral:rRNA from 1 species
GCCGAGCGGUAGAGAUCUUUCGGGAUCUUGAGAGCGGCGUACGGGUGCGGAACACGUGUGCAACCUGCCUUUAUCAGGGGGAUAGCCUUUCGAAAGGAAGAUUAAUACCCCAUAAUAUAUUGAGUGGCAUCACUUAAUAUUGAAAACUCCGGUGGAUAGAGAUGGGCACGCGCAAGAUUAGAUAGUUGGUGAGGUAACGGCUCACCAAGUCUGCGAUCUUUAGGGGGCCUGAGAGGGUGAUCCCCCACACUGGUACUGAGACACGGACCAGACUCCUACGGGAGGCAGCAGUGAGGAAUAUUGGACAAUGGGUGCGAGCCUGAUCCAGCCAUCCCGCGUGAAGGACGACGGCCCUAUGGGUUGUAAACUUCUUUUGUAUAGGGAUAAACCUACUCUCGUGAGAGUAGCUGAAGGUACUAUACGAAUAAGCACCGGCUAACUCCGUGCCAGCAGCCGCGGUAAUACGGAGGGUGCAAGCGUUAUCCGGAUUUAUUGGGUUUAAAGGGUCCGUAGGCGGAUCUGUAAGUCAGUGGUGAAAUCUCACAGCUUAACUGUGAAACUGCCAUUGAUACUGCAGGUCUUGAGUGUUGUUGAAGUAGCUGGAAUAAGUAGUGUAGCGGUGAAAUGCAUAGAUAUUACUUAGAACACCAAUUGCGAAGGCAGGUUACUAAGCAACAACUGACGCUGAUGGACGAAAGCGUGGGGAGCGAACAGGAUUAGAUACCCUGGUAGUCCACGCCGUAAACGAUGCUAACUCGUUUUUGGGUUUUCGGAUUCAGAGACUAAGCGAAAGUGAUAAGUUAGCCACCUGGGGGAGUACGAACGCAAGUUUGAAACUCAAAGGAAUUGACGGGGGGCCCGCACAAGCGGGUGGAUUAUGUGGUUUAAUUCGAUGGAUACGCGAGGAACCUUACCAAGGGCUUAAAUGGGCAAUGACAGGCUU